rnacentral:rRNA from 1 species
UAGUCCACGCCGUAAACGAUGUCUGCUAGCCGUCGGGGUACUUGGUACUUCGGUGGCGCCGCUAACGCAUUAAGCAGACCGCCUGGGGAGUACGGUCGCAAGAUUAAAACUUAAAGGAAUUGACGGGGGCCCGCACAAGCGGUGGAGCAUGUGGUUUAAUUCGAUGAUACGCGAGGAACCUUACCAGGGCUUAAAUGUAAGUUGCAUGGACCAGAGAUGGACCUUUCUUCGGACUACUUACAAGGUGCUGCAUGGUUGUCGUCAGCUCGUGCCGUGAGGUGUCAGGUUAAGUCCUAUAACGAGCGCAACCCCUAUCGUUAGUUGCCAGCAAGUAAAGUUGGGUACUCUAGCGAGACUGCCGGUGCAAACCGUGAGGAAGUGGGGAUGACGUCAAAUCAUCACGGCCCUUACGUCCUGGGCUACACACGUGCUACAAUGGUCGGUACAGAGGGUCGCGAAACCGCGAGGUGGAGCUAAUCCCACAAAACCGNUCCCAGUUCGGAUUGGAGUCUGGAACUCGACUCCA